ACCCGACUAAUGAUGGCGAUGAAAGGUUGUUCAUCAUCGGCACUACCACAAAAGUGAGAAUAAGAAACACAAUACUCAACAGUCAAAUUGGAUAGGCGAUCUCUAGAAUAUUACAGAAUGCCUGAGUAACAUGAGCAUUUUGUAAGUUGAACUUAUAGAUCGCCUCCCCUAUUUGACCGUUCUAUAUAAUUUAUUACUUUUUUAAUUAAAAGGUGACUUUUCAGUAUAGAGCGCCUGUUUUGGUUAACAGCUCUAUAACUCUAUUUGCUUUUAGCAUAAUAAUAAAAAAAUGCUUCAAGAAUAAAUAAAAAAAAACCCGAACAAAACCUAGAACUCUUUUAAUCAAUCCACCGUUGUUCACUCUCAUUCCCUUCAAAAAUAUUUUAUUCCUCUCACCUCCAUCUCAUCCUCUCUUCCUCUGUCUGUCUUGCCUCACAAUUAGCUUCUACUUCCGCCACCUUUCGUUUAUGGAUUUAGCUUUGUAUUUCCUAUCUUAAUUUGCCGACAAAUCCUCGAGAUACUUUUCACUUGUCUUCUACGACAUUCAAUAAAGGGAGGGUAAGCGGUUUCAACUCUCCCUUGAAUCUGCGAACAAGCAAAGGGCGCCGGAACACUGGGUCGAACCCACUCCAAGCCCGUAGACUUCUUCCUCUUUAGAUCUAAGUGGUUGAACGAACCGAUGCUAAAUAUUAGAGUGGAAAUUUUCUCGAAAACGGCAACCUUGAGGCCCUUGACACAAUCGGAAAUUAGUUGUAUUAGAGAAAUUGUAAUGUAAAUUUCUUGUAGGUAAUUUAGUUAUUGUAAUUGAAACAUUUGUUAAUUUUUAAUUGAUUCAAUGUUAUUCC